AAAUUUCGGUUAACAGAAACUGUUUUUUUUUUUUUAAGGCAAAAAAAAUUCGGUUCGUAGAAACCGAAGUUUUUAUUGAACGACAAAAAAGUAAAAUCCAGAUGAUGAAAAAGAACCAUGAAAGCCUAAAGAGAAAACAUCUAGAUUCUAUAUAUGAGUGCCAAAAUCAAGAGAGUUGUACACAACAGGCUUGUAGAAUUGCUCAACAAAAAAAAAAAGGCUUGUAGAAUAUUUCUAUGAGUUAUCAUUUAGUUAUUACGCUUGUAUGACUCUAUGAACUAAGCUUAGUUUUUCUUGUGAUAUUGAGUAAUGUGUGUUUAAUAUAUUUUGCCAUUUCAAAUUAAAAUUUGUACCUAUAACUAUAGUGAAAAUGAUUAAGUAAUUAAAAUAACCAAUUAUUCUAUUUUCACAAUUAUCAUAAGAAUGACAUGUAAUAGGGAUUAGUUGUUUUUGAUGUAUGUUUAUACAUUGAGUUUGGUUAUUUUAAUCAUCCUCCAACCAAAUAAAUGCGUAAGAAUAAUUUUUUCCAUCUCUUUUUCUAAUUUAAUGCUACUAAUUAUCUUUUUGUUACACUAAAACAUACACAACUUUAUCUUUAUUUGAAUUUUCUUCAGUUUUAGAAACAAACAACAAUUUUUAUUUUUCACUCAAUUCUACUAUGUUUUUAUUUAUAUAUUUGAGAAAAUAACAUACAAUAUAAAUAAUUACCAAAUUAACCUAAUUUAAUAAGUUGACAUAUAAGUAAAAGAAUAGCUAAUUUUGUCGAAAUAACUCAAAAUUGGACCUAGAUUUACUCUUUUUGUUUCACUAAACAAACAAAACAUUGUCCUUAUUUGAAUUUUUCUCAAUUUUUAACAAC
rnacentral:lncRNA from 1 species